rnacentral:rRNA from 1 species
UACAGAGGUCUCAAGCGUUGUUCGGAUUCAUUGGGCGUAAAGGGUGCGUAGGCGGCGCGGUAAGUCGGGUGUGAAAUCUUGGAGCUUAACUCCGAAACUGCAUUCGAUACUGCCGUGCUUGAGGACUGGAGAGGAGACUGGAAUUCACGGUGUAGCAGUGAAAUGCGUAGAUAUCAGGAGGAACACCGGUGGCGAAGGCGGCUUUCUGGACAGUAACUGACGCUGAGGCGCGAAAGCUAGGGGAGCAAACAGG